GAUGAACGCUGGCGGCGUGCCUAAUACAUGCAAGUCGAGCGAACAGACGAGGAGCUUGUUCUUCUGACGUUAGCGGCGGACGGGUGAGUAACACGUGGAUAACCUACCUAUAAGACUGGGAUAACAUCGGGAAACCGGAGCUAAUAACGGAUAAUAUAUUGAACCGCAUGGUUCAAUAGUGAAUGACGGUUUUGCUGUCACUAAUAGAUGGAUCCGCGCCGCAUUAGCUAGUUGGUAAGGUAACGGCUUACCAAGGCGACGAUGCGUAGCCGACCUGAGAGGGUGAUCGGCCACACUGGAACUGAGACACGGUCCAGACUCCUACGGGAGGCAGCAGUAGGGAAUCUUCCGCAAUGGGCGAAAGCCUGACGGAGCAACGCCGCGUGAGUGAUGAAGGUCUUCGGAUCGUAAAGCCCUGUUAUUAGGGAAGAACAGAUGUGUAAGUAACUAUGCACGUCUUGACGGUACCUAAUCAGAAAGCCACGGCUAACUACGUG
rnacentral:rRNA from 1 species